CCCACUGGUUCCCAUCCUCAUGGGUCUCGCUGCUUGACUGGCUCAGCGUGGGCUACCUGGUGGAUGGAAAACUGGAGCCAGGAGACCUGGUUCUGGUCUCAGCUCUGCCACGUUCUAGCUCUGGAACCUGGGGGAGUUCUCCCUGAGGAGCCCCCUUUUCCUCGCAGAGAUGUCGUUCAAGUGCAGAAUGAAGAGACAGCCGGGCCGGGGAAGGGGGCUGCAGAGGGGUCCGAAUCUGGGAUGCUGCUUUCACUGUGCCACCCUGGGCGAGCCCUUGUCCUCGUGGCACCUGCGUUCUCCACCUGCCCGUUCUCCAAGGCCCCUUUAGCAGCCCUGCCAGCCCCCUGCCCUUCCUCCCUGCCCUCCCGCCACUCGGCUGGCAUCUGCAGAGCACGGAACGACAAGGCCCCACUCCGCACCCGACUGGCUGGCAUUUCGGCUCACAGACACCUCUCCCCGAGAAGCAGCUCUCAUUUCCACCCCGUGAGAAACGGUCGUCUCGCACCCAGGCGGCCCCCGCCCAACGUGGGGCAGCCAGCUGCUUCCACGGUGGGGACCGAGGGCCUGGCCUGGGCUCCCAGAACAACGAUGGGGGCCCCUUUGCACUGGCCUGGAGGGAGCACAGACGCACGGCAGGAGGUCCAGCGCCAAAGGAGAACACCCACGGCUGAGCGCUUUCAAGCCAAGGUCUGGACCAAUGAACACAUGGAAUUGGGCUUUGACUUUCUGCGGCCUUGCCCCAGAAAAAGAUGACACAGGCUCCCUGGAGAGAUCACUGUGAUGAACGCUAGUGGGCAUUUGCUCCAUUCAUUCGUUCAUUCACUCAUUCACCCAAUAUUUUUCCAGGGCCUGCCGGAUCCGUCACCGUUUAGAGGGACCGAAUCUCUGUCAUCAGGGAGUUUCAAUUCUCUCGGGGGAGACAGCCAAUCAGAGAAUAAGGAAAUAACCGUCACGUUUGUAAGGGACCAAUAUUAGGGAGCAAAAUGAAUAGCUUUUACCAAAAAAGAAGAAAAUGAAGGAAGGGCUUAGUGAGACGUGUGUUAGAUCCGACAGGGUGCAGAAUUUGCAUUUUAAUACGCUCCAUCAGCAGCUGGGUGGAAAGGCUGUGCCACAUGCCACGGGGGAUGGAGAGAGCACAAAGAGGUGGGGUCCCCUCUUCAGGGAGUGUGUGGCCCGGCCGAGGGGGCGGUUCUUACACAAAUGUAAUGAGUACCCUUUAAUGGGAACAUGUUACCUGCCAGCCUUUUACAUGGGUUAUCUCGUGUAAUCCCCACAGCUACCCCUUGAUAUAAAUAUUAUUACUAAAUAUUAUUAUAUUAUGAUGUCCCCACUUCGUGGAUGUGUAAACUGAGGCCUGGAGCCAUCAAGUAAGCUACUCAGAGUCACACAGCAGGUGCAGAGUUGGGGUUCAGAGAUUUAGCAUCUAGCAGUCUGACUGCUGGGGCGAGGGGCGUAACCACGGCGCCAUAGCUGUGGCACCAAGCAGAGAUGAAUGCUCUUAGAUAGAGGCCAACGGGAGCCACUGCCCUCAGAGGAGCGGGCCCUGGAAGGGCUCUGUGGACCAAGAGGCCUCACAGUCGGGCAGGACUUCACCAGCAGUGAUGGAGGAGGGCGUUCCAGGAAGAGGCACAGCAGGAGCAAAGGUGCAGAGGCUGGGGGACAGGUGUGCUGGCGGGGAGCUGGGACACAGGCUCCUACUGGAGGCGAGGGCCAUUCUGGCGUGACCUCGAUUGCAGGACAGACCAUGAGGCUUCAGGCAGUUGGCAGUGGGAGCCACUAGAGAGGCCUGAGCAGGGGACUGGCUCCGAGUGAGGGCAGGAGAAUAAAUGGGUGCUGAUGGGCAAAACUGGUGGGAAGAAAGACAUGCGACAGGCUUGAGAGGCAGGCCACCAUGUUGGAGCUGGCAGAGCAUGUGGCUAAAAGCAUGGACCCUUGACCCACCCUGCUUAGAUUGGGUUCCAGCUCUGCCACCAUAGCAGGCAC
rnacentral:lncRNA from 1 species